rnacentral:rRNA from 1 species
GAGAUGGAUUGGUGCCUUCGGGAACUCUGACACAGGUGCUGCGUGGCUGUCGUCAGCUCGUGUCGUGAGAUGUUGGGUUAAGUCCGUACGAGCGCAACCCUUGUCCUUAGUUACCAGCACGUUAUGGUGGGCGACUCUAAGGAGACUGCCGGGUGACAAACCGGAGGAAGGUGGGGAUGACGUCAAGUCAUCAUGGCCCUUACGGCCUGGGCUACACACGUGCUACAAUGGUCGGUACAAAGGGUUGCCAAGCCGCGAGGUGGAGCUAAUCCCAUAAAACCGAUCGUAGUCCGGAUCGCAGUCUGCAACUCGACUGCGUGAAGUCGGAAUCGCUAGUAAUCGUGAAUCAGAAUGUCACGGUGAAUACGUUCCCGGGCCUU